UACGUAGGGGGCAAGCGUUAUCCGGAAUUACUGGGUGUAAAGGGAGCGUAGACGGUAAUGUAAGUCUGGAGUGAAAGGCGGGGGCCCAACCCCCGGACUGCUCUGGAAACUAUGUUACUAGAGUGCAGGAGAGGUAAGCGGAAUUCCUAGUGUAGCGGUGAAAUGCGUAGAUAUAUGGAGGAACACCGGUGGCGAAAGCGGCUCUCUGGCCUGUAACUGACACUGAGGCUCGAAAGCGUGGGGAUCGAACAGG
rnacentral:rRNA from 1 species